UUUCGCAAUGCCCGAAAGGGUGACGAAGCGACGCCGCGUGUGGGAAGAAGGCCUUCGGUUUGUAAACCACUGUCGGGAGUUAGGAAAUGUAAGGGUGCUAAUAGUAUCCUUACUUGACUAAGGCUCCGGAGGAAGCCACGGCUAACUCUGUGCCAGCAGCCGCGGUAAUACAGAGGCGGCAAGCGUUGUUCGGAAUUAUUGGGCGUAAAGAGCACGUAGGCGGCCUUGUAAGUCAGUUGUGAAAGCCUUCUGCUUAACGGAAGAACAGCAGCUGAUACUGCAAGGCUAGAGUGCGGAAGGGGAGAGUGGAACUUCUGGUGGAGCGGUGAAAUGCGUAGAUAUCAGAAGGAACACCGGCGGCGAAGGCGACUCUCUGGUCCGUAACUGACGCUGAGUGUGCGAAAGCUAGGGGAGCAAACGGGAUUAGAUACCCCGGUAGUCCUAGCCGUAAACGAUGGGCACUAAGUAGAGGGGUUUUA
rnacentral:rRNA from 1 species